AGUGAACGCUGGCGGUAGGCCUAACACAUGCAAGUCGAACGGCAGCACAGUAAGAGCUUGCUCUUACGGGUGGCGAGUGGCGGACGGGUGAGGAAUACAUCGGAAUCUACUUUUUCGUGGGGGAUAACGUAGGGAAACUUACGCUAAUACCGCAUACGACCUACGGGUGAAAGCAGGGGAUCUUCGGACCUUGCGCGAUUGAAUGAGCCGAUGUCGGAUUAGUUAGUUGGGGGGGUAAAGGCCCACCAAGGCGACGAUCCGUAGCUGGUCUGAGAGGAUGAUCAACCCCACUGGAACUGAGACACGGUCCCGACUCCUACGGGAGGAAGCAGUGGGGAAUGUUGGACAAUGGGCGCAAGCCUGAUCCAGCCAUACCGCGUGGGUGAAGAAGGCCUUCGGGUUGUAAAGCCCUUUUGUUGGGAAAGAAAAGCAGCAGGUUAAUACCCCGCUGUUCUGACGGUACCCAAAGAAUAAGCACCGGCUAACUUCGUG
rnacentral:rRNA from 1 species